rnacentral:rRNA from 1 species
AUUGAACGCUGGCGGCAGGCUUAACACAUGCAAGUCGAGCGGUAGCACAGGGGAGCUUGCUCCCUGGGUGACGAGCGGCGGACGGGUGAGUAAUGUCUGGGAAACUGCCUGAUGGAGGGGGAUAACUACUGGAAACGGUAGCUAAUACCGCAUAACGUCGCAAGACCAAAGAGGGGGACCUUCGGGCCUCUUGCCAUCAGAUGUGCCCAGAUGGGAUUAGCUAGUAGGUGGGGUAAUGGCUCACCUAGGCGACGAUCCCUAGCUGGUCUGAGAGGAUGACCAGCCACACUGGAACUGAGACACGGUCCAGACUCCUACGGGAGGCAGCAGUGGGGAAUAUUGCACAAAGGGCGGAAGCCUGAUGCAGCCAUGCCGCGUGUGUGAAGAAGGCCUUCGGGUUGUAAAGCACUUUCAGCGAGGAGGAAGGUGGUGAGCUUAAUACGGUCAUCAAUUGACGUUACUCGCAGAAGAAGCACCGGCUAACUCCGUG